GGUAAAGAAAUAAAUGUUUCGUAAUAUAAUGUAUAUUAAAUUUUCUAGAUUUCUAAAUGGUUGGUUUAAUUUCAGAUUUAAGGGAAAAGUAUGGUUUCAAGCCAAUAUUUUUUGAUUUGUGAAAGAUUUUGGUAUCAAGGUAGUGACGUGAAAGUUGGGCAAGGCCUGUAAAUUUAACCAGAUUGCAAUACAUAGAUCUGUGAGUGGAGACCUUUCAAAAAGAAAAUUUUAUUUUUAUUUUAUAGAAGCAUAAUAAUUACAUGAAUAUCUUAUUUUCGAGAAAUUAGUAAAUGAGCAUGAUUAUUUUGCAAUCAUCAAAAAAUAACUAAUGUAAUUACCUUAAUCUUAUACACUAAGGGGCUACGGCCGUGUACUAGAGUCAUGUAUUUAACUCCUAUACACUGAGGGGCUAUGGUCGUGUAUAAGGAUGAUUAUGUUGUUUCCAUUGUGUACACUAAGGGUCUACUGUCGUGUACUAGAGUCAUGUAUCUAACUCCUAUACACCGAGGGGCUACAACCGUAUGUAAGGGUAACUCUUAUCCACUGAGGGGCUACGGCCAUGUGUAAGGGUACCUAUUAUAUAGUGAGGGGCUACAGCCGUGUAUAAGAAUGAUUAUAUUGUUUUCAUCUUGUACAUUGAGGGGUUACGGCUGUGUACAGAGUGUUGAUCAGAUGGUUUAUUUGCAUAUGACUUUAUAGCUUUUAGUUCAUUCAGUUGAUGUGAAUUUUAUGUA